rnacentral:rRNA from 1 species
AAUAGAUACCCUGGUAGUCCUAGCCGUAAACGAGGAACACUAGGCGUAGCCGGUAUCGACCCCGGCUGUGCCGUAGCUAACGCAUUAAGUGUUCCGCCUGGGGAGUACGGCCGCAAGGCUAAAACUCAAAGGAAUUGACGGGGGGCCCGCACAAGCAGCGGAGCGUGUGGUUUAAUUCGUCGCAACGCGAAGAACCUUACCAGGGCUUGACAUGUGGCGGAAAACGGCGGAAACGUCGUCCUCCCGCAAGGGACCGUCAUGCAGGUGUUGCAUGGCUGUCGUCAGCUCGUGUCGUGAGAUGUUGGGUUAAGUCCCGCAACGAGCGCAACCCCCGUGGCAUGUUGUAUCUCUCAUGCCAGACUGCCGAGAGAAACUCGGAGGAAGGUGGGGAUGACGCCAAGUCAGCAUGGCCCUUACGUCCUGGGCUACACACACGCUACAAUGGCCGGUACAACGGGUUGCCAAACCGCGAGGUGGAGCUAAUCCCUUAAAGCCGGUCUCAGUUCGGAUUGCAGGCUGCAACUCGCCUGCAUGAAGCC